GCGCUGGGUGAGGUGCGGCUGCGCAAAGUGCGCCGUCGCCAUGGUAACCGCGGAAGCCUGGGCCCUGGGAGAGUGCUAGGUAUUGCUGGAGUGAAUGGAGCCAGAAGGAGCUCUAGAAUCAGAGGGUUCAGAAAAGUCAGUAUUUUCCUCCCAGCAAGACUAUGAAGAAUUCCAAGAAGCAGAUGAAACAGGCCCAGAGAACCCCCUCUUGCAGCCGGCUCUCACAGGGGAUGUAGAAGGUUUGCAGAAGAUUUUCGAGGAUCCCGAACACCCUCACCACGAGCACGCUGUGCAACUGCUUCUGGAAGAAGACAUUGUUGGGAGAAACCUGCUGUAUGCAGCUUGCAUGGCUGGGAAAAGUGAUGUAGUUAGAGCCUUGGCAAAGUAUGGGGUGAAUCUGAACGAGAAAACCGCUAGAGGAUACACUCUCUUACACUGCGCUGCAGCCUGGGGCCGCCUGGAAACUUUGAAGGCCCUGGUGGAACUGGACGUCGAUAUAGACACUUUGAACUUCCGGGGAGAGAAAGCUCGAGACGUGGCCGCUCGCUAUUCUCAGACAGAGUGUGUUCAUUUUCUGGACUGGGCAGAUGCAAGGCUGGUUCUGAAAAAGUUUAUCACAAAGUCCUCUCUCAUCAUUACUGACCCAGAAAAGGGACCAGGGAAACUCCUCAAGGAAGACAAGAACACUAUCCUCAAUGCGUGCCGUAUGAAGAAUGAGUGGUUGGAAACCCAUCCAGAAGCUUCUAUCAGUGAGCUUUUUGAGCAGAAACAGCAACUAGAGGAGAUUAUGACUCCCAUCCUCACAAAAAUGUCUACACCACUUUUAGGCCUUUUGCUACCCCAUAAGAAGUCUGACACUUAUGAACGGCGCCUUAUAUCCCUUCCCACCAAGCCCUGGCAAUCAUUGCUCUACUUUCUAUCUUUAUGGAUUUGCUCGACAGAGGGUAUGUAACCCUACCUGGAUUGGAGCUUGUGUAGACCAGGCUGACCUCAAACUUGCUAUAAUCCUCCUGCCUCAUCUAGUCAAGUGGUGGAUGUGAUGUGAGACAUCAUGCCCAAUUUAGAUCUGGUUACUCUGAACUCUUCAUAGAAAGAAUUAUACCAACACAUUGCUCGUUGUGACUGGUUUCUGUCCCUUGGCAUAGUGCUUGUUUAUUUAUUUUGCAACAUGUAUUACCAUUUAAUAUGGAUAAAUAACAUUCCAUUGUAUAGAUACUAAUUUAAUCCAUUCACCAACCAGAGGACAUUUUGGUUUCCAUGCUUGGGCCAGAAUACAUAAUGCUGAUAUGAACUGUGGGUAUUGCCAUAUACUUUUAUUUUUUUCUUUGGUAUAUAAACAGGCGUGGAAUUUCUGUGUCAUAGGUAACUCUGUGUCUAGUCUUCUAGGGGGCUACUGUUUUCCGUUCUCGUCAACAGCAUAUGACGAUUCCAAUUUCUCCAUGCCUUUGUUAACAUUUAUUAUUGUCUUUAAAAUAUCUUAGACAUACUUAGUGGAUAUGACAUCAUACUCUUAUUUGAAUUUCCCUGAUCACUAUUAAUUAUAGACAUCGUUUCAUGUGCUUAUUGGUCAUUUGUAUGAUUAUUCUGGAGAACUAUUCAUUUUGAUUCCUUUAAAAUUUAAAAGUAAAGUAUCUUGUUAUAACAGUUCUUUAUAUAUUCUGGAUACAAGUCUAAUAUCAGAAAUGACUCUGAGCUGGACAUGGUGACAAAUGCCUGCAAUCUUAGCCCUGGGAUGGCCGAGGCAAGAGGAUCACAAGUUUGAGGUCACCUUAGGCUAUUCACUACCCAUUGUUGACAAAUACACUUUGUUCGUGUGUUCCCUGAGAGCUGAAGGAAGGAUGGGUAUGGAAGAAGAGCUGGGGCCAGGAAUAUAAAGAAGGGGUUUGUCUUGUUGGUCUCUCAUUCAAGUCAAUCGCUGAAGAGACAAUGUUUUAAAUGUCAAAAGAGACUUCGUGGAAGUUUCCAGAACUUCUCCAGAGACACACUUGGACAGCCCAGAAUAAUUAGGAAAAAGGCACAAAUUGGCUAACUGCCCUCGUCUGUGAGGGCAUUUUCUUGAGUUAGCAAAAGGCUCUAAGUAGAAUUCUUUCCACCCUGUGAAAGAAGGAAGAAACUGGCCAUCCAGGCAGGCACAUCCAAACUGCAGCUGAAGACGAAAGAGUGACAUUGAAUCCCAGUCUCCAGCCCCCAACAGGAAUGUGGGUGGCACUUGUCUGGGUUACGGCUCAGUUAACGAACAGCUUUGCCACAACCUGAGCCAGCGAUGCCCUGUCCACUCAGUGUAAUGUGUGGUGCUGUGAGGUAACAGAGCCCGGGGUUCUGCGGACAGCUGUCCACUCCUCUUGUGCCUUGAUCGAUGUAAUGAGAUGGCGUUGUCUGACUGGGGCAAGUGAAAAGCGCCAAAUCGAUAACCUAAGCCGUGAUCAGCAAAGAAGUCAAGAUUGAGCCUUCUACAGACCCCACACGGUGUAGACGGCCAUGUUAUUUCCCAGUGUUAGAUAAGACAAAACUGUUCCUGCCAGCCAAAUUCAAGAAAUAGACUCAGGUUUUGCAGAAAUGUUUGGGUACAAAUUCAGUCACCCUGACCUUGUGGCAGGCUGUUCAGAACACUCAUACCUGGCUCAGAGGCUGGGCCUCUGUUCCCCCAAACACAUCUCCUCACGAGUCCUCCAAGCAUGGCUCCUCAUGAGUUCCUGUGUUCCUUCAGAAGAGCUGAGCAAGGAUUUAAAACCACACAGAAAAGCUAAUAAUUUUCUAUGUAACUGAGGCAAGAAAUUUCCAGUAGACUAGGGAAGUCCAUUUUUUUAAAAUGAUGCACUAGGCCGUUUCUAAAGGAUUCUCAAAAUACUAGGAACUGUUUGGGGCAGGGUCCUCUAGUGUUGGCUGCUACUUUUUAUGUCUGAAUUAAAAUUCACCUGGAAGGUGGAGACAGUUUCUGAGAGAAGUCCACUGUUACCUUUAAUAUCCCUAAUGAACACAAAUCUGCCUAGCUUCCCUCCCCAGGAGGUUUGGUAAUACAGAUAUUGUAAUUGGCACCAUGCCACUUCCUGCCAUUCUCUUUCAUAUUGCCCAGGUUUUAAAGGUCAUGGUUACCCAAAAGGUCUUUGGAAAGCCCUUUUCUAGUCAAGUUAAGCAUGACCCUAAACUUCCUAUUCCUUUGUGACUCUCUGGGAAAGUUUUUUAUAGAAAAUAAAAUGUAAAAAAGAGGAGAGAGAGAGAGAGAAUAUUCCCUGUUCUUACCACUUCCUCGUCUUUGCCUUGCUAUACAAACUAUUUUCCCUUCAGAGGAGAAAAAAAACAGAAGCCUUUCACUAACACUCGCCAGGCCAUGUUCUCUUGGCCAUGGCAUUGAGAUAAUCUUGAUUUAAAUAUGUCCCCAAGUCUCACUUUUGAGAUCUUUUCGUUCCAUGAGCGAUUUCUAUUCAGCUCCCUUCAGCAGAAGCACUAAUGUUAGCCCAUCCGUGAGACACCCCAAGUGUUCGCUGCUGGCAACAGCAGGAGGACCUGUGUUUGUCCUUUCAAUGCGUGUAUUCCGGGACACUCUGUGCACAGCACUGGCGCCACUGGGAAGAGGCCAGGUGCCCUUCUUUGUUGCUGUUAUUUUCAUUCUAAGCCACCUUUUCUGAGCCUUGAUCAUGAAGGCAGCAGUGCUUUUCCAGGCCUGUGCUCCUGGUGAGUAGGAAGGGAGACCCGUAAGCCACCUUUAUCCCAGGGAAGAAAGGAACAUUUUUACCAUCUACUAGAAUAACCUCUCUCUCCCUCUUUUGUCUUGCAAUCUUUGUCCUCAAACAUUUUAUAGCCUUUGAUACACUUGUUCACACUGUAUUUUUACAAUCCCUUGCAUUGGCACCUUUAUACCAACACCCCAACUUUCUUAUAAUCUACUUUUCUAACUCCCCCCUAGCGUCUCUUCUUCUAGGCUCUCGCUGUCAGAAACUCUCAGAAUUGAAUUCUGAUUCUUGGUGGGACAAUUGUUUUUCUUCACCCCCUGACUGUCCCGCUCUCCUGUAUUUUAGAAAUCUUUGGGGGCACUUCUGUUGCCAGAGCCCCAUUCUGUGCUCAGUGUAACUGUUAACAUGCUUGUCUCGCCAUGUGGAUGAGCAAUGAUCUUUCUGAAAGACUGUUUUUUUUUUUGCUCUUUGUUAUACCUAAAGAGCUUGUACAAUAGUAAGUUAUUAACUAAAAGUUGAAUUGAUUCACCUUACUCCCCGUACCUAACAUUACCUAGUACUCCUAGAACUCAUUACAUCUCCAUUCAUUUAUAGAGCCUGAUUGCAUUAUAGAAAUGAUAGCAACCUUAUCUUAUGCUCUGUCGGUGCAGUAUUGCAAUACCCACUCCCCUAACAGACAAGCCAUACCCACAUCGAACAUUGGGGGUCUAUGUUCACCUUCCCUCAGCUUUGUACUUCUUGAACUGUCAUCUCGUUGUCAUGGCCUAGUGAUUUCCAAGAGGUUUUUGGAUCUUAUUUUAGAGAUUCCUUUGAUGUGGGGCUCUGAACACUUGUUUAUAUCUGUGGAUCUAUAACUUCUGUUUUGCGAGAGACGAUAUCAAUUAUUACCUAUUGUUGCACUGACUUAUAGCUAGAUUAAUAGAUUUCAAUGCACUUAUGCUAUGAGUUUGAUGUUAUUUCAUUAGCUGCAUGGUGUCUUCUGAACUCGCAUGGGGUAGUCAUGUUUUGAAAAGCUCAUGUUAACAAUUCAGGAAUGCCUCCACAGUAUUUGAAAGGUAGGCAAAGGCUGAUUCAGUGUUAUAAUCAGUUCUAGAUGGUAGUUCUUUAGGUUGAUGUUUCGUUGAUCAUAAAAAAAUGGAAAAUAUAAAGGUAGGAUAUUAAUAUAACAUUAUCAAAAUAGCAAGUUCUGUCCCUUAUCAAAAGAUGUAACAAAAGAUGUUUUAACAGCAAAAAAAAAAAAAAAUAGGAGAAAGAAAACAAGGAAGCCAUUAAGUAACACUCGCCAGGCCAUGUUCUCUUGGUCACGGCAUUGAGAUAAUCUUAGUGUAAAUGUGUCCCCAAAUCUCACUUUUGAGAUCUUUUCACUCUGUGAGCAUUUCCCAUUCAGCAGAAGCACUGAUGCUAGUCUAUCUGCGAGACACCCUGAGCGUUCACUGCUGGCAGAAGAUCUGUUUUGGGCCCUUUUAAUGUGUGUUUUCCAGGACACUCUGUGCAUACCAGCACUGGCGUCAUUGGGAAGAGGCCAGGUGCCCUUCUUUGUUGCUGUUAUUUUCAUCCUAAGCCACACUUAGGCUUAGAUGAUGCAGAGGACUUUAUGUGAGAUUUACUUUUCUCAUUUUACCACAGAUGAUAAAACUUUAUCAUACACCAGUAUGGUUAUAGUAUCUAAUCUUUGACAACUACUGCACUUGACCAGUGGAGGCCGACUGAUAUUUAUUUUAGCAGAAAACCCCAUGUUGUAAAAGGCUGACAGUUACCCAGUAUUUGUCUAAUAUGCAGAGGAUUAUACUGUCCAAGAUCACCUAGUCUCCCAUUUCACAUACUCCUCUCGCUGUGUGGUCCUGUCAUUUCUAGUGUAGAAAUAGGAAUCUCUGAGCUGUCUUGAAUCUGGGGAGCCCAUGACUACAGUUGAAAGUGAUUCUGUGUCUUUUUCAAUGCUACGUUAUAAGAGGUGAUGUGGCUUCUGCCUCAAUCUCUUAAGAUACCGGUAACCUUAGAAACCGGCCUGUGAGAAGACCAACAAGGAAAGGUCUCUCAAAGGUUCUCAAGCUUGCAGCUCUGACUCCUCUCCACCCAUCUAACUGCUGCUGCCAGCCUGCCUGACUAGGAGUGAAGUCAUCUUGAAAGUGGAUUCUCCAAUCAAGCCACUAUUGGAUGCUGUAUGGAGUGGAGGCAACAUUCUCUGCUGACUCCUCCCAGAAUCACGGACUUCUGAGAUAAAUAAAUGUUUCGUUUUAAGUCA